rnacentral:rRNA from 1 species
UACGGAGGGUGCAAGCGUUAUCCGGAUUUAUUGGGUUUAAAGGGUCCGUAGGUGGCGCUGUAAGUCAGGUGUGAAAUCUCGGGGCUCAACCCCGAAACUGCACUUGAUACUGCGGUGCUCGAGUACUGGAGAGGAGAUUGGAAUUUACGGUGUAGCAGUGAAAUGCGUAGAUAUCGUAAGGAAGACCAGUGGCGAAGGCGAAUCUCUGGACAGUUACUGACACUGAGGCACGAAGGCCAGGGGAGCAAACGGG